CAAUAGCGUAUAUUUAAGUUGUUGCAGUUAAAAAGCUCGUAGUUGGAUUUCUGCUGAGAACGACCGGUCCGCCCUCUGGGUGUGUAUCUGGCUCUUUCUUGGCAUCUUCUUGGUGAACGUUGCUGCACUUGACUGUGUGGAGCGCUACCCAGGACUUUUACUUUGAGGAAAUUAGAGUGUUUCAAGCAGGCAUACGCCUUGAAUACAUUAGCAUGGAAUAAUAAGAUAGGACCUCGGUUCUAUUUUGUUGGUUUCUAGAGCUGAGGUAAUGAUUAAUAGGGAUAGUUGGGGGCAUUCGUAUUUAACUGUCAGAGGUGAAAUUCUUGGAUUUGUUAAAGACGGACUACUGCGAANGNAUUUGCNAAGGAUGUUUNCAUUG
rnacentral:rRNA from 1 species